rnacentral:rRNA from 1 species
GAGUGAACGCUGGCGGCAUGCCUAACACAUGCAAGUCGAACGGUAACAGGCCCGCAAGGGUGCUGACGAGUGGCGGACGGGUGAGGAAUACAUCGGAAUUUGCCCAGUCGUGGGGGAUAACGUAGGGAAACUUACGCUAAUACCGCAUACGACCUAACGGUGAAAGCGGGGGAUCCGCAAGACCUCGCGCGGAUGGAUAAGCCGAUGUCGGAUUAGCUAGUUGGCGGGGUAAAAGGCCCACCAAGGCGACGAUCCGUAGCUGGUCUGAGAGGAUGAUCAGCCACACCU